rnacentral:rRNA from 1 species
GACGAACGCUGGCGGCGUGCCUAAUACAUGCAAGUCGAGCGGACGAAUCGAAAGCUUGCUUUUGAUUCGUUAGCGGCGGACGGGUGAGUAACACGUGGGCAACCUGCCCUGUAGACGGGGAUAACACCGAGAAAUCGGUGCUAAUACCGGAUAACACGAAAUGUCGCAUGACGUUUCGUUGAAAGACGGCGCAAGCUGUCGCUACAGGAUGGGCUCGCGGCGCAUUAGCUAGUUGGUGAGGUAACGGCUCACCAAGGCGACGAUGCGUAGCCGACCUGAGAGGGUGAUCGGCCACACUGGGACUGAGCCACGGCCCAGACUCCUACGGGAGGCAGCAGUAAGGAAUCUUCCGCAAUGGACGAAAGUCUGACGGAGCAACGCCGCGUGAGCGAAGAAGGCCUUCGGGUCGUAAAGCUCUGUUGUUAGGGAAGAACAAGUAACGCAGUAACUGGCGUUACCGUGACGGUACCUAACGAGAAAGCCACGGCUAACUACGUG